AGGCAACAGCGGGCGAAUGAGGCGCGACGCAACACUGAGAAUGAAAAAACAAAGAAGAAAACUGAAGAUACAAAAGAGAUAGACGCAGAGGACAACGCCUUUUCGGGUAAGGAUGACGAUCGUAUGAGCAAAAGGAGUCGCCGUGAAAAAGGCGAGCGCACCCGUCCGGUGUCGCGUGAGCAGGAGCCCGUAGACCGUUGCUGUCGGCGCAGGCGCCGGCGGAGAUCAUGCCGUCGCAGACGCAGGCGCAGUUGCAGUCGGCGCCGCCGCCGUCGACGCCGUCGCAGCUGUAGUCGCCGCCGUCGGAGAAGAAGCUGUCGACGCAGAAGACGCAGAAGGCGCCGCUGUGGACGUUAAGCCCCGAUGUUACCCACUUGUAACCGAUUUUUGGAGCGUUUAAUUUUUAUUAAUAAAUUAUUGAU